GGAGAGAUGGCCGAGUGGUCGAUGGCGCACGCCUGGAAAGUGUGUAUACCUCAAAAGGGUAUCAUGGGUUCGAAUCCCAUUCUCUCCG
rnacentral:tRNA from 1 species